rnacentral:tRNA from 1 species
ACUUGAUUAGUUUAAUGGUAGAACAGGUGUUUUGGGAACACUUGGUAUCAGUUCAACUCUGAGGUCUGCUU